GAUGAACGCUGGCGGCGUGCCUAAUACAUGCAAGUCGAGCGAACGGACGAGAAGCUUGCUUCUCUGAUGUUAGCGGCGGACGGGUGAGUAACACGUGUAUAACCUACCUAUAAGACUGGGAUAACUUCGGGAAACCGUAGCUAAUACCAGAUAAUAUUUUGAACCGCAUGGUUCAAAAGUGAAAGACGGUCUUGCUGUCACUUAUAGAUGGAUCCCCGCUGCAUUAGCUAGUUGGUAAGGUAACGGCUUACCAAGGCAACGAUGCAUAGCCGACCUGAGAGGGUGAUAGGCCACACUGGAACGGAGACAGGGUCCAGACUACUACGGGAGGCAGCAGUAGGGAAUCUUCCGCAAUGGGCGAAAGCCUGACGGAGCAACGCCGAGUGAGUGAUGAAGGUCUUCGGAUCGUAAAACUCUGUUAUUAGGGAAGAACAUAUGUGUAAGUAACUGUGCACAUCUUGACGGUACCUAAUCAGAAAGCAACGGCUAACUACGUG
rnacentral:rRNA from 1 species